AACCUCCGCAAUGUACGAAAGUGCGACGGGGGGAUCCCAAGUGUUAUGCUUUUUUGUAUAACUUUUCAUUAGUGUAAAAAGCUUUUAGAAUAAGAGCUGGGCAAGACCGGUGCCAGCCGCCGCGGUAACACCGGCAGCUCGAGUGGUAGCUGUUUUUAUUGGGCCUAAAGCGUUCGUAGCCGGUUUGAUAAGUCUUUGGUGAAAGCUUGUAGCUUAACUAUAAGAAUUGCUGGAGAUACUAUCAGACUUGAAGUCGGGAGAGGUUAGAGGUACUACCGGGGUGGGGUGAAAUCCUAUAAUCCUGGGAGGACCACCUGUGGCGAAGGCGUCUAACUGGAACGAUCUUGACGGUGAGUAACGAAAGCCAGGGCGCGAACCGGAUUAGAUACCCGGUAGUCCUGGCCGUAAACGAUGUGGACUUGGUGUUGGAAUGGCUUUGAGUUGUUCCGGUGCCGAAGGGAAGCUGUUAAGUCCACCGCCUGGGAAGUAGGUCGCAAGACUGAAACUUAAAGGAAUU
rnacentral:rRNA from 1 species